CCCUUAGAUGUUCUGGGCCGCACGCGCGCUACACUGAUGCAUUCAACAAGCCUAGCCUUGACCGAGAGGUCCGGGCAAUCUUUGAAACUGCAUCGUGAUGGGGCUAGAUUAUUGCAAUUAUUAAUCUUCAACGAGGAAUGCCUAGUAAGCGUGAUUCAUCAAAUCGCGUUGAUUACGUCCCUGCCCUUUGUACACACCGCCCGUCGCUCCUACCGAUUGAAUGUGUUGGUGAGGAGCUCGGAUUGGCAGCAGUUGGUGGUUCGCCACCGGCUAUUGCUGAGAAGUCCUCCAAACCGCCCCAUUUAGAGGAAGGAGAAGUCGUAACA
rnacentral:rRNA from 1 species